rnacentral:rRNA from 1 species
UGCGCAGGCGGAGCGACAAGUCAGUGGUGAAAUCUCUCGGCUCAACCGGGAAACUGCCAUUGAUACUGUUAGUCUUGAGUUCGGUUGAGGUAGGCGGAAUGUGUAAUGUAGCGGUGAAAUGCUUAGAUAUUACACAGAACACCAAUUGCGUAGGCAGCUUACUAGACCGACACUGACGCUGAGGCACGAAAGCGUGGGUAGCGAACAGGAUUAGAUACCCUGGUAGUCC